UUUUGGAAAAAGUCUGCCAUGUCAGGAUCGCCUUAACUCACUUAAUUUAGCAAAGGUUUGGACUAGCAUACUAUGAAGCAAAGGGAGGGGAAUUGUACAAACACGCGUGGAGAUACACUUAGUAGGGCAUUCAAAAGGAUGCUUUACCUGGAGCGUUCUAACCCCCUGGGCUAUGGGUUGUAACUUUAAUACUGGGCAGGCGUGGAUUACGGCCCUUUCCCAUUCCUUUGCUCUAAAGAAAAUCUCAGCCCUAGCCCUCGCUGUUGCGCGUGCACGCACCGUGGAGCAAUGUCCCAAUACCACUUUAAGGUAGCUUUAAGGGGUAAGGGGGAGGGCUAACAUCCCCUCAAAAUUGAGAUUUUCGAUGGGCACCCUCAAAGUGAUUCAGUUCUGACUUGCUCCCACAAUACCUUGCGAGAAAACGGAAAAUCCAGAAAUAUCCUAGACAAGAUGGAGGACGAAAAGAUGCGACAGGAUUGGAAAAACACAAAUGACAUCGUUGAGUCCACUGCCACCAGCCCCCCCACCUCUCCCUCAUGCUCCUCCACCCCAGGCACCUCUUCCACCCCCCCAGACACCCCUUCCAAGAGGAGAGUGCCAGGGAGCAGGCGAGGCAUGAGGAGAGCGAGGCAAAGUUGGCGGAAUGGUGGAGAAGAUGUGAUUCUCCACCAUUCUCUCAAAAGCUGAGAGAGGGUGUGUGUGUGUGUGUGUAUUUUUAGGUGUGCGUGUGUGUGUAUUUUUAGAUGUGUGGUUCAGUGUUUAUUUAAAUAAAGUGUUUCUUCUAAAGUGUUCUUGUUCUUAACCGAUUAUUAUCUAAGGGUGCACUCACACACCUUUAACAUGUAGCUAAGUGACAUUCAAAAUAAAGGUAUAUUACGAGGGACAAAUAGUAUUUUUUUUUUUUUCAACACUUUAUUUAAACAUGCCAAUUACAAAAUAUAAAUACCAUUUCAGGUUAAACAUCUUUACAAUGGGUCUUGCUCGUUGCCCGAGACAAUGGCAGCCAGUCUGUCUCUUGUAACAUUACCAGGGGUCUGGUUAUCUGCUAGGGGGCACGGGGAGGCCAUGAUGAUGUCACAGGGUAGGGUUGUCCCAUUUGGUAGGGUCGGUUAGGGGUAGCAAUGAGGGGUAGCAAUGAGCAUGAGCAAUGAGGGUUAGGGUUGAGAUGUAGGGUUGAGACAGUGAGCAAAGAAACGGGAUUGGGCCUUAGUUAUGUGCUCUGAUUGGCUAAGCAUGGUGCUGAACUCCCGCCUCUCUGGAUGUUGUAUGUGUCUCUAUGCUGCUCCCUUGUGGCUAUGUGUUGGCAUUACAACUUGCUUUGUGGUAUUGUGCUGACCCCUAGUGGCUAUGUGUUGGCAUUGCAAUUUGUUAUGUGGCCCUGAACUUCUGAGUUCGCCGAACACCUGAGGGGUGUUCCACGAACGGAGGUUUAACAAACACUGAGUUAACGCUGAACUCUAGGUUGAUUGACCCUGUGCCGACCAACCCAGAGUUUUCGGUUCCACAGCAGCGGUUAUGCAUUAGUUCAAUCAACUCGGGGUUGGUUAACACAGGGUUGUGUGCGUCCACGCCAAACUUAAAAAGACGUGAUGUAUGGAUCAUGGAAACCCUGAUCGAUAUGGCGAAACGGGCCGCUUAUUUCAAUGAAAUGGAACUCCAGG
ensembl:lncRNA